rnacentral:rRNA from 1 species
CGUAGGAGGCAAGCGUUAUCCGGAUUUAUUGGGCGUAAAGGGCGUGUAGGUGGCCAGUAAAGUCUCUUGUGAAAUCUCCCGGCUCAACCGGGAGGGGUCAAGAGAUACUCAUUGGCUCGAGGGAAGCAGAGGAGAAUGGAAUUCCCGGUGUAGUGGUGAAAUGCGUAGAUAUCGGGAGGAACACCAGUGGCGAAAGCGAUUCUCUGGGCUUAACCUGACACUGAGGCGCGAAAGCGUGGGGAGCAAACCGGAUCAGAUACCCGGGUAGUCCACGCCAUAAACGAUGAGUGCUGGGUAUGGGGGGUAUCGACCCCCUCCGUGCCGAAGUUAACACGUUAAGCACUCCGCCUGGGAACUACGACCGCAAGGUU